rnacentral:rRNA from 1 species
GGUUAAGCGACUAAGCGUACACGGUGGAUGCCCUGGCAGUCAGAGGCGAUGAAGGGCGUGCUAAUCUGCGAUAAGCGCCGGUAAGGUGAUAUGAACCGUUAUAACCGGCGAUACCCGAAUGGGGAAACCCAGUGUGACUCGUCACACUAUCAUUAACUGAAUCCAUAGGUUAAUGAGGCGAACCGGGGGAACUGAAACAUCUAAGUACCCCGAGGAAAAGAAAUCAACCGAGAUUCCCCCAGUAGCGGCGAGCGAACGGGGAGGAGCCCAGAGCCUGAAUCAGCAUGUGUGUUAGUGGAAGCGUCUGGAAAGGCGCGCGAUACAGGGUGACAGCCCCGUACACAAAAGCGCAUGUGCUGUGAGCUCGAUGAGUAGGGCGGGACACGUGGUAUCCUGUCUGAAUAUGGGGGGACCAUCCUCCAAGGCUAAAUACUCCUGACUGACCGAUAGUGAACCAGUACCGUGAGGGAAAGGCGAAAAGAACCCCGGCGAGGGGAGUGAAAAAGAACCUGAAACCGUGUACGUACAAGCAGUGGGAGCACAGGUUUACCUGUGUGACUGCGUACCUUUUGUAUAAUGGGUCAGCGACUUAUAUUCUGUAGCAAGGUUAACCGUAUAGGGGAGCCGUAGGGAAACCGAGUCUUAACCGGGCGUUAAGUUGCAGGGUAUAGACCCGAAACCCGGUGAUCUAGCCAUGGGCAGGUUGAAGGUUGGGUAACACUAACUGGAGGACCGAACCGACUAAUGUUGAAAAAUUAGCGGAUGACCUGUGGCUGGGGGUGAAAGGCCAAUCAAACCGGGAGAUAGCUGGUUCUCCCCGAAAGCUAUUUAGGUAGCGCCUCGUGAAUUCAUCUCCGGGGGUAGAGCACUGUUUCGGCUAGGGGGCCAUCCCGGCUUACCAACCCGAUGCAAACUGCGAAUACCGGAGAAUGUUAUCACGGGAGACACACGGCGGGUGCUAACGUCCGUCGUGAAGAGGGAAACAACCCAGACCGCCAGCUAAGGUCCCAAAGUCAUGGUUAAGUGGGAAACGAUGUGGGAAGGCCCAGACAGCCAGGAUGUUGGCUUAGAAGCAGCCAUCAUUUAAAGAAAGCGUAAUAGCUCACUGGUCGAGUCGGCCUGCGCGGAAGAUGUAACGGGGCUAAACCAUGCACCGAAGCUGCGGCAGCGACGCUGAUGCGUUGUUGGGUAGGGGAGCGUUCUGUAAGCCUGCGAAGGUGGCCUGUGAGGGUUGCUGGAGGUAUCAGAAGUGCGAAUGCUGACAUAAGUAACGAUAAAGCGGGUGAAAAGCCCGCUCGCCGGAAGACCAAGGGUUCCUGUCCAACGUUAAUCGGGGCAGGGUGAGUCGACCCCUAAGGCGAGGCCGAAAGGCGUAGUCGAUGGGAAACGGGUUAAUAUUCCCGUACUUGGUGUUACUGCGAAGGGGGGACGGAGAAGGCUAUGUUGGCCGGGCGACGGUUGUCCCGGUUUAAGCGUGUAGGUGUGUGUUCCAGGUAAAUCCGGUUCACUUUAACACUGAGGCGUGACGACGAGGCACUACGGUGCUGAAGCAACAAAUGCCCUGCUUCCAGGAAAAGCCUCUAAGCAUCAGGUAACACGAAAUCGUACCCCAAACCGACACAGGUGGUCAGGUAGAGAAUACCAAGGCGCUUGAGAGAACUCGGGUGAAGGAACUAGGCAAAAUGGUGCCGUAACUUCGGGAGAAGGCACGCUGACACGUAGGUGAAGUGAUUUACUCAUGGAGCUGAAGUCAGUCGAAGAUACCAGCUGGCUGCAACUGUUUAUUAAAAACACAGCACUGUGCAAACACGAAAGUGGACGUAUACGGUGUGACGCCUGCCCGGUGCCGGAAGGUUAAUUGAUGGGGUCAGCGCAAGCGAAGCUCCUGAUCGAAGCCCCGGUAAACGGCGGCCGUAACUAUAACGGUCCUAAGGUAGCGAAAUUCCUUGUCGGGUAAGUUCCGACCUGCACGAAUGGCGUAAUGAUGGCCAGGCUGUCUCCACCCGAGACUCAGUGAAAUUGAACUCGCUGUGAAGAUGCAGUGUACCCGCGGCAAGACGGAAAGACCCCGUGAACCUUUACUAUAGCUUGACACUGAACAUUGAGCCUUGAUGUGUAG